ACAUUAUCUUCCCAUUGAUUCUUCAAUUAGCUUAUCACUUUGUGUAUAUUAAGUUUUUUUUGUGUGUGUGUUUUAUGUAAUUUUUUCAUUUUGGAUCAUGGCUGCUAACAAAUUUGCAACUAUGUUACACAAAAAUACCAACAAAAUCACAAUGAUUCUUAUCUAUGCAGUGUUGGAAUGGACUCUUAUAAGUUUACUUCUCCUUAACUCUUUUUUUUCUUAUAUGAUCAUUAAAUUUGCUAACUAUUUUGGGUUAAAGCCACCAUGUCCAUUGUGUUCAAGAAUUGAUCAUUUGUUUGAACAUGAAAAGACUAAAGCUUUUUGCAAAGAUCUUCUUUGUGAAGCUCAUGCUAAAGAGAUAUCUCAAUUGGGGUUCUGUUUAAAUCAUCAGAAACUGGUUGAAUCACAAGAUAUGUGUGAGGAUUGCUUGUCAUCACCACAUGAUGAUGAUAAUUCAAGAUUUGAAUGUUCUUGUUGUGAUGUGAAGUUGGAGAAAAAGUCUACAAAUGAAAGUUGUGAGGUUGAUGAUUUGGGAGAUACCCAAAAAGGGAAUUUGGUUAUUGAGUCAACAAAUGAUGAUUUGGUUAAAGAAAGAUCAGAUUUUGAUGAAGAAAAAACUGAUCUUGAUGGUUUGGUUAUUGAAAAAGUAAUGAAAGAUCAAGGUGUUCAAGUUUGUGUAAUUGAGGAUUCAUCUUUUGAGUAUUCUUCUCAGCAUUUGGAGUUUUUUGUUGAGUGUAGUGGUCAUAAGUUGGUUCCUGUUGAACUGAUUGAUUCAACAACUGAGGAAGAUCAUUGUAAAAACCAUGAAACCGACGAAAAUUGCGAAAAGAAUGAUGAAUUGGUUGUUGAGAUUAACAAGAUUGAGGAGGAAGAUAAGUUUGCAGUUCUUGAUUCUAUGGAGAUGGAAGAAGAUGAAAAUGGUUUUAGUUUUUGUGUUGAUGAAUGUCAUUCAGUAAAAGAGUUUGAUGAACAAUUUGAUCAAUUUCACCAAGAAUCUGCUAUAGAUAAUGUUCAAAUUGAGGUUGAAAGUGUAAGAGAAGAAAAUGAUUCAGAUGUUACACCAGAAGAGGUUUCCGAAAUACAACAAAUUGAUGAAAUUGAGGCAGAAGUGUCAAUUGGAAAUGAAAUUCCUGAUAUGAAUCUAUCAGAUGAAAUUCCAUGUGAAGUAUCUCUUGAUUCAUGUACACAUGAAGAACAUUUCACAAGUUCUGCUCAUUUCCAUGAUAUUAAUCAACAUGGUCCUACAGAAGAUCAUGACAAAUUAGUAGAAUUGAAAUUGUUAUCGCUCGAGUUUGAUGAUCAUGUGAUGAACAAUGAAUCAUUGAUAUCUUCAAAAUUGGAUGAGAUUGAAGAAGAAAAAGUUCCAGAGACGCCAACUUCUAUAGAUAGUUUCUAUCAGUUGCAUAAGAAGUUACUACUCCUUGAGAAGAAAGAUUUCGGAACUGAGUCUUUGGAUGGGAGUGUGGUUAGUGAGUUAGAAGGCGGAGAUGCAGUUUCAUCAAUCGAACAUCUGAAAUCAGCGUUAAAAGCUGAGAGAAAGGCUCUACACGCGUUGUAUACAGAGUUAGAAGAAGAGAGGAGUGCUUCUGCUGUGGCUGCUAAUCAAACAAUGGCUAUGAUAAACAAGCUUCAAGAAGAAAAAUCAGCAAUGCAGAUGGAAGCAUUGCAAUAUCAGAGAAUGAUGGAAGAACAAUCGGAGUAUGAUCAAGAAGCGUUGCAGCUUUUGAAUGAGCUUAUGGUAAAGAGGGAGAAGGAAAAGCAAGAGCUAGAGAAAGAAUUGGAAGUAUAUAGAAAAAGGUUAUCGGAAUAUGAAGCAAAAGAAAAGGCGAUGAGGAUGUUGAAGAGAAGCAAAGAUGGAAGUGUUGCAAGAAGCGGAUUAUUUUCAUCAGCCUCUUGUAGCAACGGUGAGGACAGUGAGGAGUUGUCGAUUGAUUUGAAUCAAGAACCAAAAGAAGAUGUCAACUUUUAUUGCCAUCAAGAAUGUGAUGAUCAUGAUAAUAAAGUUCAAGUUGAUGCUUUUCUAGAAUUGGAAGAAUCGUUUGUUGAUUUCGAGGAAGAGAGGAUGUCCAUCCUUGAACAGCUAAAGAUGUUGGAAGAAAAGCUUAUAUCUAUGGAUGAUGAAGAUGCAAAGGAAUUCGAGGAUGUUAGACCAAUGGACGAUUCAUAUAGAGAGAAUGGAGAUCAUACGGUGGUAAAUUCUCGUUUAGAUGGAGAGAUAAAUGAACAUGCCAAUGGUUUUUUGAGUGAAAUGAAUGGGAAACUAAUUAUCAAUCCAAAGGGAAAGGGACUUCUUCCACUUUUUGAUGCAAUGAGUGACGAAAACGGAGAUGUUAUGAUAAAUGGACAUGAAAAUGGCUUCCAUCCCAACGACGUUGAUGAGGAAAACAAGAAGCUAGAUAUAGAAGAGGAGUUGGAUCUUCUACAUGAAAGACUACAAGCUCUCGAGGCAGAUAGGGAGUUCCUUAAGAACUGCAUGAGCUCGUUGAAGAAAGGCGAUAAAGGGAUGGAUCUUCUUCAUGAAAUCUUACAACAUCUUCGCGAUCUAAAGACAGUUGAUCUUCGUGUAAGGAGCUCAAGUAAUGGUCUCAUAUUAUAGUCAAGAGUGCUAACUCACUUGUCGCGCCAAAGAAGAUAACUUGACCAUGAUCAUAGUAAAAACUCAACGAUGCACUCGAAAUCUAUGCAAAUAGCUGAUAAAACUCUGCUUGGAGAAUCCCUUGACAGAGAGAUCAGGCCUUGGAAAUGGUCUGGUCUAAGUUUUUGAUCUCAAGCUUCAAUGAUCAUUUGUCAAAGUUGAACCAAAUGUUUUAGUAUGAGUUGGUGUCAAUUCUCCAACUUUUGAGGGCAAAAGAGGGGGAAUGAUGAAUGUGUGUGUAGUCCAUUUAGGGUGAAGCCAUUCUAUCUUCAAAAACAAAAAAAAAAUAAGUUCGUGAUGUUCGAGUCAGCUUAUGUAUCAAGAUACCUGCUAUCUAUCACCAGCAUCGACCUAGCUUUUCUAUGUUGUGAAAAGGACAAAGCACUAGCUUUGUAAAGCUGGAGAGGGUCCAACAAAGAUUCCAAUUCCAAGAAAUUUGUCUUUGUUUAUUGUAGACAAAUUAGGAGUAGCAACAAUUUUCUUGUCCCUUUUUUUAUUUUUCAUUUUAAAAGGGUUUUAAGGCAUAAAGGGGAAAGUAACUUCUUUUUUGCCUAAUCUCUCAUUUCUUUUUCAUCAUUUUAUCAUAUGAGAUUUGUUUAAGUAUUUUUAUUUUUUUUUUGGUUUUAGAAGGCAAAGUUGUCUAGUUGUACACUACAUUUGUCUUUGUAAGAGUACAUAAA
rnacentral:misc_RNA from 1 species